UCGAUUUUUUAAUACCUUCGCUGAAAGAACCAUUACUAUAUGUGCUCAUGUUCCCCUUAAAAUACAUGGAAAUUGCAAAUCAAGAUCAUUUCUUUGUGGAAUUGAGAGGAGUGACUCUGUGCCAAGUGAGAGGUUUUUGCAUAACAGAGGGACAAAGAUACCUUUAUAAACUUGGUAGCUUCUGGUAAUCUCACCCUUGUGAACAAAUUUGUUGUAUCUUGUUGAAGGAGGGGAUCAUAAUUAUGAGAAAUGA